rnacentral:rRNA from 1 species
GGUUAAGCGACUAAGCGUACACGGUGGAUGCCCUGGCAGUCAGAGGCGAUGAAGGACGUGCUAAUCUGCGAUAAGCGUCGGUGAGGUGAUAUGAACCGUUAUAACCGGCGAUUUCCGAAUGGGGAAACCCAGUGUGUUUCGACACACUAUCAUUAACUGAAUCCAUAGGUUAAUGAGGCGAACCGGGGGAACUGAAACAUCUAAGUACCCCGAGGAAAAGAAAUCAACCGAGAUUCCCCCAGUAGCGGCGAGCGAACGGGGAGGAGCCCAGAGCCUGAAUCAGUGUGUGUGUUAGUGGAAGCGUCUGGAAAGGCGCGCGAUACAGGGUGACAGCCCCGUACACAAAAAUGCACAUAUUGUGAGCUCGAUGAGUAGGGCGGGACACGUGGUAUCCUGUCUGAAUAUGGGGGGACCAUCCUCCAAGGCUAAAUACUCCUGACUGACCGAUAGUGAACCAGUACCGUGAGGGAAAGGCGAAAAGAACCCCGGCGAGGGGAGUGAAAAAGAACCUGAAACCGUGUACGUACAAGCAGUGGGAGCCUCUUAAUGGGGUGACUGCGUACCUUUUGUAUAAUGGGUCAGCGACUUAUAUUCUGUAGCAAGGUUAACCGAAUAGGGGAGCCGAAGGGAAACCGAGUCUUAACUGGGCGUUAAGUUGCAGGGUAUAGACCCGAAACCCGGUGAUCUAGCCAUGGGCAGGUUGAAGGUUGGGUAACACUAACUGGAGGACCGAACCGACUAAUGUUGAAAAAUUAGCGGAUGACUUGUGGCUGGGGGUGAAAGGCCAAUCAAACCGGGAGAUAGCUGGUUCUCCCCGAAAGCUAUUUAGGUAGCGCCUCGUGAAUUCAUCUCCGGGGGUAGAGCACUGUUUCGGCAAGGGGGUCAUCCCGACUUACCAACCCGAUGCAAACUGCGAAUACCGGAGAAUGUUAUCACGGGAGACACACGGCGGGUGCUAACGUCCGUCGUGAAGAGGGAAACAACCCAGACCGCCAGCUAAGGUCCCAAAGUCAUGGUUAAGUGGGAAACGAUGUGGGAAGGCCCAGACAGCCAGGAUGUUGGCUUAGAAGCAGCCAUCAUUUAAAGAAAGCGUAAUAGCUCACUGGUCGAGUCGGCCUGCGCGGAAGAUGUAACGGGGCUAAACCAUGCACCGAAGCUGCGGCAGCGACACUAUGUGUUGUUGGGUAGGGGAGCGUUCUGUAAGCCUGUGAAGGUGUACUGUGAGGUAUGCUGGAGGUAUCAGAAGUGCGAAUGCUGACAUAAGUAACGAUAAAGCGGGUGAAAAGCCCGCUCGCCGGAAGACCAAGGGUUCCUGUCCAACGUUAAUCGGGGCAGGGUGAGUCGACCCCUAAGGCGAGGCCGAAAGGCGUAGUCGAUGGGAAACAGGUUAAUAUUCCUGUACUUGGUGUUACUGCGAAGGGGGGACGGAGAAGGCUAUGUUGGCCGGGCGACGGUUGUCCCGGUUUAAGCGUGUAGGCUGGUUUUCCAGGCAAAUCCGGAAAAUCAAGGCUGAGGCGUGAUGACGAGGCACUACGGUGCUGAAGCGACAAAUGCCCUGCUUCCAGGAAAAGCCUCUAAGCAUCAGGUAACAUCAAAUCGUACCCCAAACCGACACAGGUGGUCAGGUAGAGAAUACCAAGGCGCUUGAGAGAACUCGGGUGAAGGAACUAGGCAAAAUGGUGCCGUAACUUCGGGAGAAGGCACGCUGAUAUGUAGGUGAAGCGACUUGCUCGUGGAGCUGAAAUCAGUCGAAGAUACCAGCUGGCUGCAACUGUUUAUUAAAAACACAGCACUGUGCAAACACGAAAGUGGACGUAUACGGUGUGACGCCUGCCCGGUGCCGGAAGGUUAAUUGAUGGGGUUAGCGGUAACGCGAAGCUCUUGAUCGAAGCCCCGGUAAACGGCGGCCGUAACUAUAACGGUCCUAAGGUAGCGAAAUUCCUUGUCGGGUAAGUUCCGACCUGCACGAAUGGCGUAAUGAUGGCCAGGCUGUCUCCACCCGAGACUCAGUGAAAUUGAACUCGCUGUGAAGAUGCAGUGUACCCGCGGCAAGACGGAAAGACCCCGUGAACCUUUACUAUAGCUUGACACUGAACAUUGAGCCUUGAUGUGUAGGAUAGGUGGGAGGCUUUGAAGUGUGGACGCCAGUCUGCAUGGAGCCGACCUUGAAAUACCACCCUUUAAUGUUUGAUGUUCUAACGUGGGCCCCUUACCGGGGUUGCGGACAGUGUCUGGUGGGUAGUUUGACUGGGGCGGUCUCCUCCUAAAGAGUAACGGAGGAGCACGAAGGUUGGCUAAUCCUGGUCGGACAUCAGGAGGUUAGUGCAAUGGCAUAAGCCAGCUUGACUGCGAGCGUGACGGCGCGAGCAGGUGCGAAAGCAGGUCAUAGUGAUCCGGUGGUUCUGA